rnacentral:rRNA from 1 species
CAGUAGCCGCGGUAAUACGGAGGGUGCAAGCGUUAAUCGGAAUUACUGGGCGUAAAGCGCACGCAGGCGGUCUGACAAGUCAGAUGUGAAAUCCCCGGGCUUAACCUGGGAACUGCAUUUGAAACUGUCAGGCUGGAGUCUUGUAGAGGGGGGUAGAAUUCCAGGUGUAGCGGUGAAAUGCGUAGAGAUCUGGAGGAAUACCGGUGGCGAAGGCGGCCCCCUGGACGAAGACUGACGCUCAGGUGCGAAAGCGUGGGGAGCAAACAGGAUUAGAUACCCCGGUAGUCCCUGUCUCUUAUAC